rnacentral:misc_RNA from 1 species
AGUUAAUGUUCCAAUGAAGUGUUCUCUCUUGUACUAUCUAGAUACUUAAAAUAUUUAAUUUUAUAAUUGCAUAUUUAGCUGUAUUUCUUAAUCUAAUUGCCUAUUACAUGUUUGUCCUUUCAUGAGCUUGUAUCAUAUAAGAUUUUUAUUUCAUAUAUUUGUGAAAGAUGCCUGAAUAUUUGUUUUCCAUCUUGAGCAUAUCUUAGUCUUUUAGAUGACCUCUUUUCCAGUAUUUAUGAGAUGAUAGUUUUCUUCUAUUCUUGGUUUAUGCUUUUAGAAACCUUAUAAUGUACUGAUGACAGUGGCAGAUGUAGCUUGUAAAAUGGGGGGGUCAGUUGACCUUGUUUUUUAUUAUGUGUGUGCAUGAAUCAACCGAAUAAUGAAUUCAAUUAUUGAACCCACUUUUUGAUAAAAGUUAAAACUAGUUGAAAUGAAAAAAUAUGUUGUGUAUUCACAUGUUUAUUUACUUCUAAAACUAGUACUUAUUCUACCUGUUGGCAACUAUGGAACGAACUUUUUAACACAAAAUGCACAAUUGCCUAUAAGAUCAAUUGAUGAAUGACUGUUUAGUUAUUUAUAUAAAGAGAGAUGUAUUUGAUAGCAUUAAUAAUGAUUUAAUUCUUAAUUGUAUUCAAGGCCUUAGACCUUGUCGAUUCCGAUAGUAAAAUAUGAGUAUUAUGUUUUUGAUAUUUUUUAGUAAUAAUUUAUUAUUUAUUUUUUAUAUGUUGACCCAAGAAAAGAAUUUUCUAGCUUUGCCAAUGAUUGAUGAAGCCAUGAAGGGCAUUCUGUGCACACAGUUUCCUAGAAUCUGAUGUGUGAUGUUGUAGUUUGUUUAGUCAAUUCAUGUUCUUUAUGGAAAAAAUAUCAAAAAUUCUUUUUUUUUUUUGGCACUAAUUUUUGUGAGUUACCCAUGGUAAUGUCUGUUAAAUUCAUCGCAAGUGCUUUUUUUAUUCUUAGAUUUUUUGUGCUAAUACACUUACAUCUUCCAUUAGAUGCGUCAUUUUGCAGUCCUGAACAUUUGAAAAUAAAUUACUAUAGAUAGCUUUCAAUCAUGCCAAAGGAUGCAGACAUGUGCCAAAUGUGUCAAUAAUAUGACUGGCUUAUUGGCUAUGGGUAUGAAAUUUUUCCAUGGAAUAAAUUUUGUUGGACAACUGAUGUGCAUGAUGGUAUAUAGUAUACUUCUAGCAUGAAUGCAGUUAGCCAUUUAUCUCAAUUUUGAUGCACAGUGAUGUAUCUAGUUUUUGUUCAAGUCAUGUUUAUUGAAUGGGAUAUUAUUCUUGAAUGCCUGUGGUGAAAUUAAAGCUCAACCAUUUCUAUGCCUAGUCCUCCUGCAUUCUUGAGUUUGAUGGUGCUUCAAAAGGAAAUCCUGGCCCAGCUGGUGCUGGAGCUGUUUUGCAUGCUGAAGAUGGAAGCAUGGUCUGUCGACUUCGUGAGGGAUUGGGCACUGCAACAAAUAAUGUUGCUGAAUAUCGAGCUGUCAUUUUAGGACUGAAGCAUGCACUUAGGAAAGGGUUCAAACAUAUUCGUGUCCGAGGAGACUCAAAUCUUGUCUGCAUGCAGAUUCAGGGUCUAUGGAAAAUCAAAAACCAGAAUCUGGCUGGCUUGUGUAAAGAGGCUAAUGAGCUCAAGAAUAAAUUUACAUCAUUUCAUAUUGAACAUGUUCUCAGGGAGUUGAACUCUGAAGCUGAUACGCAAGCAAACCUGGCUGUUAAUCUCAAGGAUGGGCAAAUUGAAGAGGAUUGCACCUGAAAGUAACUUGAAUCCUAGGAGCCAGCUGCAACAUAUAUUGCUAAAUUGUAGAUAGUAAUAUCAGUGCUGUAGAUGUUGAAACUUAUGGUUUGGAAGAGAAUCUUUUUGGAAGAGAAUCUUUUGAUUACUCAGUAACUGAAAAUGAAGUAUAUUAGAUCAGCUAAACUGCGCUGAGCAUGGAAGAAGACAUUCUGGUGAUGAUUUAUGACAGUAGACAUAAUCACUUGUCUGCAUGCAGGGUUAUGUAUCGAAUGAUGAAACUAUAAAUACCAUAUCAGAUGGAACGUUAAGUGACAACUCUUUUGUGAAGUUUUGGUUAGUUUUAUGGUGACUUCAGAUUUGACAUAUAUAUAUUACCAGCAAUGAGCUUUAGCACCUGAUCUUGUUGAGUUUUGGGUAUUUAGUGUCCAUUCUUCUAUUGGGUUCUAUGCAUCUUUCAAUUUAUAUAGUUGAG